rnacentral:rRNA from 1 species
AGGACGAACGCUGGCGGCGUGCCUAACACAUGCAAGUGGAGCGACGAACCGGACUUCGGUCCGGGGCCAAGCCGCGAACGGGUGAGUAACACGUGGGUAACCUGCCCUGAUGAUUGGGACAACCCGAGGAAACUCGGGCUAAUACCGAAUGUGCCCUCUGGCCGUAAGGCCUCUGGGGAAAGGAAGCUUCGGCCUCCGCAUUGGGAUGGGCCCGCGGCCCAUUAGCUUGUUGGUGAGGUAACGGCUCACCAAGGCAACGAUGGGUAGCUGGUCUGAGAGGACGAUCAGCCACACUGGGACUGAGACACGGCCCAGACUCCUACGGGAGGCAGCAGUGGAGAAUCUUGCGCAAUGCGCGAAAGCGUGACGCAGCAACGCCGCGUGGGGGAAGAAGGCCUUCGGGUUGUAAACCCUUUCAGUUGGGACGAAGCUUCGGCGGUGAAUAGCCGCCUGGAGUGACGGUACCUUCAGAAGAAGCCCCGGCUAACUACGUGCCAGCAGCCGC